UGGUGGAGUGAUUUGUCUGGUUAAUUCCGUUAACGAACGAGACCUCGACCUGCUAAAUAGUUCGACAAAGGAAUUCUUUCCUUUGGUUUUACGUGACUUCUUAGAGGGACUAUCGGUGUGUAGCCGACGGAAGUUCGAGGCAAUAACA
rnacentral:rRNA from 1 species